GCCGCGGUGGUGGAAUGGCAGACACGCCAGCCUUAGGAGCUGGUGCCCACAAGGCGUGAAGGUUCAAGUCCUUUCCGCGGCA
rnacentral:tRNA from 1 species